rnacentral:rRNA from 1 species
GACAGAGGGGGCAAGCGUUGCUCGGAAUUACUGGGCGUAAAGGGCGCGUAGGCGGGAUGGCAAGUCGGUCGUGAAAGCCUUCGGCUCAACCGAAGAACGUCGGCCGAUACUGCCGUUCUUGAGGGAUGCAGAGGAGACUGGAAUUCCCGGUGUAGCGGUGAAAUGUGUAGAGAUCGGGAGGAACACCGGUGGCGAAGGCGGGUCUCUGGGCAUCUCCUGACGCUGAGGCGCGAAAGCGUGGGGAGCGAACAGG